UAAAAACCCCGACUUCGGAAGGGGUGUAUUUAUUAGAUACAAAACCAAUGCCCUUCGGGGCUCUUUGGUGAUUCAUGAUAACUAUACGAAUCGCACGGCCUUGCGCCGGCGAUGGUUCAUUCAAAUUUCUUCCCUAUCAACUUUCGAUGUUUGGGUAUUGGCCAAGCAUGGUUGCAACGGGUAACGGAGGGUUAGGGCUCGACCCCGGAGAAGGAGCCUGAGAAACGGCUACUACAUCCAAGGAAGGCAGCAGGCGCGCAAAUUACCCAAUCCCGACUCGGGGAGGUAGUGACAAUAAAUACUGAUACAGGGCCCUUUCGGGCCUUGUAAUUGGAAUGAGUACAAUUUAAAUCCCUUAACGAGGAACAAUUGGAGGGCAAGUCUGGUGCCAGCAGCCGCGGUAAUUCCAGCUCCAAUAGCGUAUAUUAAAGUUGUUGUGGUUAAAAAGCUCGUAGUUGAACCUUGGGCCUGGCUGGCCGGUCCGCCUCACCGCGUGCACUGGUCCGGCCGGGCCUUUCCCUCUGUGGAACCCCAUACCCUUCACUGGGCGUGGGCGGGGAAACAGGAAUUUACUUU
rnacentral:rRNA from 1 species